ensembl:lncRNA
AUGAAGGGGUCAGAUGCCUGGUGGGCAGGCCAUGCUCACACUCCAGGUCAAGGCUGGCUGGGAGGGACAGAGGGUGCUGGGGUGGCCCUCUUGUCCCCAAGAUUCAUCCCGAGCCCUACAGGUGGAUGUCACUGUGUCCCGGGCGCAGGGCUGUGCGCACUCAGGUCUGUGUCGGAUCUGGGAGCCGCAGGGGGAGAGGGCGGAAGGACACUGAGGAUGGCCGGGCGGGGCUGUGAUGCCUCCGGGCCGGCCGCGGGUCACUGUCUUUACAGAAAUCAACGGAUGAAAUCGGGAGGCGACUGUCGGGAUCCCGAUUCACCUGCCCUACAGAGGUGUGCGUGUGCCCCGUCGCCCAGGAGGGCCACCCUGGACCCGGGGAGAGAGUGGCCGCACGGAGGUCUCCGGAAGCAGGGCCUGGAGAUGGCCUGGGAGGGCCUCCCUCACCGCCCGGGCCCCUCCACAGGGUCCUGGCUCAGCGGUCCUGGGACCAGGACCCGGAGCCCCCAGAGCCCGAGCCCGAGGAGUCCGGGGCAGGAGCAGAAGCCGGUGCGGCUCCAGAGCCCGACCCAACAGCCUCGGGGGCCUCGGCGGCUCUGGAGGCGGGGGUGGCGUCUGGAGCGACUCCUGCAGGGGCCCGGCAGCCGGCAGGUGACCUGGGACCUGUGCGGGGACAGCGGGCACCUGGGCAGAGUCAGCUGGGUCCUGCUUCUGCUCCUGCUGCUUCCACUGUUCCUGCUUCUGCUCCCAACACCGUUCCUGCCACCGCCCUUCUCCCCGCCCCUGCCACCUCUCUUCUCCCUGCCCCUGCCCCCGCCCCUGCCACCGCCCUUCUCCCUGCCCCUGCCACCGCCCUUGCUCCCACAUGGAUGCCAGCCACUGAUCAAGGGCCUGAGGGCCUACACGGGAUGUUUGUUUUAUUUCUAAUUGUUCCAAUCCCCGACCCUGACACCCUACCACAAUGUCUCUUCCUCUUCUCCCUUAUCCUUUCUCUCCUCUUCUUUUUAGCUGUGACUUUAUUUCUUCACUGUUGGUUUAUAAUCCAUAUUAAUCCUCAGUAAAAUUUUUAUUUACUUUACGUUGUGCAAUUCCUGCGCGCUGGGUACACUCACGACGCUGUGAACCACGCCACAGAAUAUUGGUGCAGAGUAUCUCAGUCCCCGAGGGACACCGUGUACCCGGAGCCCGCCCUCCCCAUUCGUGCCCCCGCCAGGCCCUGGGAACCCCCAGUCCGCUUUCUCUCCGUGUUCCGUUACUUACUCUGGAGGUUUCCUACAAGUGGAAUCUCUCAAGAGAUACCUUCGGGUCUGCACCGACUUUUCAGACGGGACAGAUUCAUUUUCGUACUCUGUGGUCGCUUGAAAUAGACUGUUUCUCCUUUGAUGUUGAAAUCACAAUGGAUUAAAGAUUAGGUGGGAAAAAAGAGGCCCCUUCGGUGACAAUGGGCACGGUCUCGGGGUGGAGACCCCCGUUUGUGCUGUGACACCACAGCCUGACGCCAGCCAGGACACGGCUGGUCCCCCCGUGGCCCAGACAGAAGCCGGGAGACGCAGAAGGCCGGACGGUCACACCGCAGAGGGGAGAGCAUCCCUCACGACCCAGGGCCAGAAAGGUUCACAGGCCCCUGGGCCAAAUAACGCUCCAAAGCCCGUGCGUUCCCCGGGAUGGAGACCAGACCCGUCCCGGUCCAUGGGAGCCGGCGUCAGAGAUGCGGGGCGUCCCGGGGAGGGACUCGGGCAAGUGAAACCCGAGGGAGGCAGCGCUGGGCACCUUCAGACCGGCAGGUUUCUGGUCUGGGGACCGGCAGCCCAGGUGACAACGUGAGGCAGCAGAGGCCCCAGCAGGUCCCCAGCGAGAAGUCCUCGUCCUGCAGGGGACCGGCUGGCCCAGGACUGGGAGAGCCCACAGAGCCUGGGGUCGGCCCUUCCCCGGUCCCCAUGCCCGGCCCCAGGCAGGUUGGUCAGCUCUGCUCCCCUGAGUUCAGGGGGGGCGGGCCUUCGGCGGGUGGUGGGGUUCCCCAGGAAGAGGGACCCCGAGCCCCAGGACGCCAAGACGCAGGCCUGCGGGUAGGACAAUCCAAAGUCAAGGACAUGGGCUUCCUGACCUAGCUCGUCUUACUAGUGACCCAGGCUGUGCUAUUAGCCUCGGUGUCCCCAUCUGUGACACGGGGACGAAACGGGCCUUCUAGAUGGCUUGUCGCAUUCCCCGACAGAUGAGGUGGAAUCGUGGCCUGGUGCCUGGAGGACACAAAGGGCCACCUGGAAGGCUGUCCCAGAGUCCCCCAGGGCACAGGAUUCCGGAAGCCCCUCCUCGGCCCCUGCCUGCCGUCCCCCUUCCGGGAACACUCAGCGUUGUUUGCGGAGGAGGUGGAGACGAUCCAGGACGUCAGCAGGUCCCACGUGAAGGAAGGUCAGCGCUGGAGGGACAGAAGGACGUGUCCCGUGCCCCCUUCCAGGGCCCGAGCUGUGACGCCCUCUGACCUGACCUCUGACCCGACCUGGUGUGUGGACCCGGCUUCUGUGGUUUCACUCCCUCCUUCCCUCCCUCCUUCCCUAAUUCAGCCGGCCAUCUCAGGUCCCUGCCGCGUGCCGAACACCGGGACCUCAUCGGUGAGCGCGACCCGACGGGGUCCCCCACGUGGCCUCUUCCUUUGCGGCGUCUGAAUCUUCCUGUGCUGGGUCCCCUCUGGCGAGUCUGGGAGGGAGGCCUCUGCACAUGUCCCUGCAAGGAAGCACGAGUCCGGAAGGUCCAGACGACCUGCCCCAAGUCCCAGCGUGUGGAGACUGGACACGGGGUGGUCCCUGAUCAGAGGAAGACUUGGGCCCACGGAGCCCGCAGGAUGACGAGUACAGGGAGCCCGGAGGAGGAGGGGGGAGCACCGUGGCGGCCUGGCGCUCAGGCCAACUGGGAGACGGUGUCGUACCCGGACCGGCUCUGUCCCCAGGGCCGUCGGGGUAUCCGCGCUCCCGGGUGGCAGGCUGGCCCCGGCUGGCAGGAGAGGAGGUGCCCGUGGGGCAGGACAGAGCCCUCAGGCAGAGCGGAGGGUCGCAGGUGCUCCCCCAGGGGCAGGUGGACUCGAGCGCCCUGAGGCGGCAUCACCGGGACAGCAGUGCCUGCAACGGGGUCCCCAUACCCGUCCCCUCCUCAGCCAAGGUUUGUCUGCAUGGCGUUUACCCCCCAAACACAAAGUCUGGGCCAGGAGCCACCCUCUUGGAGCCCUCGCCCCUGAUUCUUUCCAGCCACCUCAAGUGACAAGAAAUGGACAAUAUUUCAGGUGGUGGUGGACGCCCAGAGAUGUUUGUGUUUCUGGCCCACGUUGUGACGUCGCUGGCAUUUUAAAGAUCAGGGCUUUGAUUCAAAAGCGGCAGGAUGCCGAGGACCCUGGAGAGCUUUCUGGAAACCUGCCUCUGUGCUUUGCCGCACCCCAUUCCGACCAGCUCUGCUCGCAAUCUCUCCGGACCACGGUUCCAUAGCCUGGGGUCCUCAGAUGGCCGAGGUGAUGUUGUAAUAGGUCAGUUUAUAAGACCUCAGAAAGCUUAUUGUAUAUAAGUUCGGCUUAAAGUCACCUUUCAUGAAUAAUUGAGAUAAAAGGCUUCUGUAGUUCCCUAUUAGGGUUAUCGGAAGUUCCUAACCUCCCUAUCUUGCUUCUGGGACCUCGCCUGCUUGCUGAAUAGAUCACUUAGGAUGCAAAACGCUCCCCCAGCCCCUCUACCAAGGUCUGGCCUAGGCAAGACCAACAUGUAAAAGGCACGUACUCGCUGCCCCACGGCAUCUUAGGUGUCUAACUAUGAUUGGUCAUUUUAAACCCUCUUAGGACAAAGAACUUUAAAUUGAUAGGUUCCCACCGAAACUGACGUCUGUGUGUCACGAUAUAACUGGCUACCGUGAAAGGCUGUAGAUUGUAAUUGGUUAACCAAAUAAUGACGUAUUCUGACUUGCUAAAAUCCAUAUAAGCUCACUGCUACCUUUGUUCGGGGCCAUUCUCUGUACUUUUCUCCUUACGAUCAGGAGAUCAGGUUUGGCCCGGCCGUGAAUAAAAUCUUGCCUCGCUUCUAUUCGGCGUCUGGU